GUCCACGCCAUAAACGAUGGGCACUAGGUGUCGCGGGUAUUGACCCCUGCGGUGCCGCAGCUAACGCAUUAAGUGCCCCGCCUGGGGAAUACGGCCGCAAGGUUAAAACUCAAAGGAAUUGACGGGGGCCCCGCACAAGCGGUGGAGCAUGUGGUUCAAUUCGACGCAACGCGCAGAACCUUACCUGGGCUAGACAACAUCGGAUAGCCUCAGAGAUGAGGUUUUCCCUUCGGGGACUGGUGGUUCAGGUGCUGCAUGGCUGUCGU
rnacentral:rRNA from 1 species